rnacentral:lncRNA from 1 species
GGUCCUAUAAACUCACUAUAUAAUAUGAUAUAGUGAUCACAAUCUGUAAAACAGUAAGACAAUAUGAGUAAUUGGAAUUAAUAAAUUCUUAUAUUCACAAAGCUUUGAAGGUUACAAAAACUCUCUCAGUGAUUUAUAUUGUAUCACUAAGAGCUGCUAGGGUUCUUAACAAUAUACUCGAUAACUCAACUCCUAUAGAGUAACCCUAAUCUGUGUUUAUAUAGACACAGUUACAAAAUCAAUCUCUGAUUUGAUAUCCUAUAAAUCAGCUAAUAAUUCUAUCAAUCAAAGAUUGCUCCAGUUUUCUGUUUAGUUUCCAUAGUCAGCAAAUCACUCCUCAGCUUCUAUCCUUCCUUGAAGUAUAUCCGCUUCUGAGCUCUUUCCACG